rnacentral:siRNA from 1 species
UGACCUGGUAGCCAUUCUCGC